GAUGAAGAACGUAGCGAAAUGCGAUAAGUAAUGUGAAUUGCAGAAUUCAGUGAACCAUCGAAUCUUUGAACGCACAUUGCGCCCGCCAGUAUUCUGGCGGGCAUGCCUGUUCGAGCGUCAUUUCAACCAUCAAGCCCCAGGCUUGUGUUGGGGACCUGCGGCUGCCGCAGGCCCUGAAAACCAGUGGCGGGCUCGCUGUCACACCGGGCGUAGUAGAUUUUAUCUCGCUCAGGGCGUGCUGCGGGUUCCGGCCGUUAAAAAGCCUUUUUUACCCAAGGUUGACCUCGGAUCAGGUAGGAAGACCCGCUGAACUUAAGCAUAUCAAUAAGCGGAGGA
rnacentral:misc_RNA from 1 species